rnacentral:rRNA from 2 species
UACGGAGGGUGCGAGCGUUAUUCGGAAUUACUGGGCGUAAAGCGCGUGUAGGCGGGGGGACAAGUCUGAUGUGAAAGCCCUGGGCUUAACCUGGGAAGCGCAUUGGAAACUGUUUUUCUUGAGUACUGGAGAGGAAGGGGGAAUUCCCGGUGUAGAGGUGAAAUUCGUAGAGAUCGGGAGGAAUACCAGUGGCGUAGGCGCCCUUCUGGACGGUAACUGACGCUGAGACGCGAAAGCGUGGGGAGCAAACAGGAUUAGAUACCCUGGUAGUCCACGCUGUAAACGAUGAUCACUAGGUGUAGCGGGUACUCAUUCCUGCUGUGCCGCAGCUAACGCGUUAAGUGAUCCGCCUGGGGAUUACGGUCGCAAGACUAAA